CAAGAUGCACAUAGUCUGAAAGAUCUGGCUGGUGUUCUGAAUAAGAUGACAUAAUAUCUCAACUGCAGAAGUACAGCUGGCAUGGAGGGGUUUCACCAGCACAUCUUGAUGUAUUGUAACAAAAGAUUUGCUCAUACACCACCUGUUUAUAGGAUGCACAAUCUUCUUGCAGUCAAAGAUUAUAAUAUACAUGCAAAUAGACCACACAUCACCAAUAAGGGGGAUCAGUUAGACUUCAGCGAGUCUGGAUGAAUUAAAGAAGAAGAAAAAGUAUCAUUAUAUGGAUAUCAUUUUACAUGAUGCUAUAACUCUGAGAAUUAGUGGCAGGGAGGGGAUAUAUAAAGUAGAAAGUUAGAGAAAGAUGACACCCACAGACUUUCAAAACAUUUGGCCCAAGUUAGCCCAAAGCCUACCCGAACCAUUCAUGAGAAACAUAAAUCAAGAUAUGAUUGACUUUUUAUGGAAAAUAAUGAUAAAUAGUGUGUUACACUAAUUGCCCAACUAUUCAAACAUAUUUAAGCUGAC